UUCUACACAUAGAACUAAUUUUAGAAAAAUGUAUUUUUUAAAGUUAGCCUACUGAGAAGGGCUCCAAAAAUACCUGAUUCAAUUGAAUACAGCACUUCUGCAUUCUUCCCCUUGUCCUUGUCCAGAGCUGUAACCUGCAACACCACUGAGCCAACUGCCGCUGAUUCAUAAACCCGCCCUUCGUAGGAGGAACUCGUGAACCAGGGGGCAUGGUCAUUGGUGUCACUGACGUUAACAACAAUCCGGGCAAAGUUGCGCUUUACCGGGACAUCUUGAUCCCGCACCUGAAAGAAUCAGGCUCCACAGGAGAGAGAUUCUAGAGUACUCGGGUAAUAAGACAGACUACUUGAGCAGGAUUUACAGAAGAUAAUUUCCUAUGUCAGAUCUGAAUCUGCAACGACCAAGCUAGCAAGGUCAGUCUGGGCCUUGUAACCACUCUCUGAUCCUCGCUCGACCCGCCCAGCCAGCAUUUCAUCAGAAUAUCUUCAAGACCCUCUGAAAAUGACUCAAAAUAAGUUACAGAAGUAUAAAUGAAGCACUAAAACUUAAGAUAUUCUGUGUUCCUGGAAAGACUGUAGUCGAUUUCCUGGGUUUUUCAGGAAAUUUUAGUCAACCACAUUUGACUACCACAUUUCAUACUAAGCUUUUAACUGUACUAGCUAAAACUACAAUUACUGGGCAAGGGAAACAGUGCUACUGAUUCAUUUAGUGAUAAGCAAUAAAUGCUAUGGGUAAAUAUAUCAUCUUCAUUAAUGAGAAUGCGCAGCACAGAGGGCCACUGCUUAUUAAGUCCCUUUUGCUAUAUUUCUGGUUAGUAAUUUACUUGAACUGGUCCACAUACAGCUAUACCUUUAAAACUUUCAAAUUUUAUCCUGUUAAAUGUAUUAUAACUCUUGAUGUUUUUAUUCUCAUUUUCAUGUUCUAAAGUCUAGCUUCUACAAUGAGAACAGUUCCCAACAAAAAUGAAAAUUUAAUACUGUACUAAAACUUGUACGUGACAAUCUCAAAAUGACCCCAAAGCAUGGUAACAUGUCAAUUUUAAAUCCCCUAAGAAUCAAAAGUGUG